UGUGGUAUUUCUGGAUCCUUAACAAGGCAGUAAUGGUGUAUACCUUCUCUCAAAGUAUGUGGUAUUUUUGGUAUGAGGCAUAGUGGCAUUGCCUUCUCUCUCACCCUACUCUAAUAAGGUUUUGAUAUCUGGAGCUCAAAGGUGGGAGACAGCUAAUACAUACUUACAAGACAUUUAUUGCAUAGUCAAACCAUAGAUCCAUAAGAAUAAGUCAAUAAGUCAAAUCAAGAUGUGCAUGUGUGGCGAAUGAAUGGUGAUAAUGGUGAAAAUAAUGGUGAAAGUCUAAUUCUACUUUUGCUCUUUUGAGUUGGUACAUACCUUCCUUGCACUUGAGGCUUUUGAGAGGAAUGAGAUGCUCUAUAUUUUUUUCUUUUCUCUCAGGUGGGUAUCUUGUACCCCUAAUUCUACUGUUGGACACUUGUCCAUUUUUACCCCACGUCUCACUUUUCUCUUUUUUUUCGAGGUUUCGGGCACUUGCCCCCUUUUUAUUUCCUCGUAUUCGCUUUUUUUCAUAGCACUCACCCUCCUGGAAUAAUGUAGCAAGUGGUAGUAACCAAAAUAUCUCGAGCAUUUAUUUCACGGGGAAUAACAGUGUCGGUGUUUUCCCUACGGGGGUUCACACCAACGAGUAAAUUUGUAUGCGUGCUCCCUUUCCCAGAUGGUGAUGCAAGAAGACACAGAGAUUUAUCCUGGUUCGGGC
rnacentral:lncRNA from 1 species